AUUGAACGCUGGCGGCAUGCCUUACACAUGCAAGUCGAACGGCAGCACGGGAGCAAUCCUGGUGGCGAGUGGCGAACGGGUGAGUAAUAUAUCGGAACGUGCCCAGUCGUGGGGGAUAACGCAGCGAAAGCUGUGCUAAUACCGCAUACGAUCUAAGGAUGAAAGCGGGGGAUCGCAAGACCUCGCGCGAUUGGAGCGGCGGAUAUCAGAUUAGCUAGUUGGUGGGGUAAAGGCCCACCAAGGCGACGAUCUGUAGCUGGUCUGAGAGGACGACCAGACACACUGGAACUGAGACACGGUCCAGACUCCUACGGGAGGCAGCAGUGGGGAAUUUUGGACAAUGGGCGCAAGCCUGAUCCAGCAAUGCCGCGUGCAGGAUGAAGGCCUUCGGGUUGUAAACUGCUUUUGUACGGAACGAAACGGCCCUUUCUAAUACAAGGGGCCAAUGACGGUACCGUAAGAAUAAGCACCGGCUAACUACGUGCCAGCAGCCGCAGUAA
rnacentral:rRNA from 1 species